rnacentral:rRNA from 1 species
UACGUAGGUGGCGAGCGUUGUCCGGAAUUACUGGGUGUAAAGGGCGUGUAGGCGGGAUUGUAAGUCAGUUGUGAAAUUCUUAAGCUUAACUUAAGAGCUGCAACUGAAACUGUGAUUCUUGAGUGCUGGAGAGGAUAGUGGAAUUCCUAGUGUAGCGGUGAAAUGCGUAGAUAUUAGGAGGAACACCAGUGGCGAAGGCGACUAUCUGGACAGUAACUGACGCUGAGGCGCGAAAGUGUGGGGAGCGAACAGG